rnacentral:lncRNA from 1 species
AGUCCACCACCUCUACCCUCUUAACUCUUCCUUAGAAAUCCUACUGUCUGCAGCUGGGAAUGAAUGGAAUGAAGGUCAAGGAUGAAGAUCUCACUCUGUUACCCAGGGUGGAGUGCAGGGGCAUGAACACGGAUCACUGCAGCUUCGACUUCCUGGCUCAAGCAAUCCUUCCACUUCCUGGCUCAAGCAAUCCUUCCACCUCAGCCUCCUAGUAACUGCAUCCUGGGCAAUAUCCCCAGCUGAAAGAUUACGCUUCCCAGCCUUCCUUGCAGCUAGACGUAGCCAUAUGACAAAAUGACGCCCAAUGAAGCAUACAUAGAAAAGUCAUGUGAGACUUCUGGAAAAGCUUCUGUAAAAGUGAGGAGCAGACACCCUUUUCUUUUUCUUCUCCUUUCUCUUGCUGUUGGCCUGGAAUGUGGACCUGAUGGAUGGAGCUCUGGCAAUCAUCUUGGAGUAUGAAGUGACCUUAAGGAUGAACAGAAAAGAAAAUGAGCCUGGGCCUUUAAUGACACAGUGGAGCUGCUCCCAGCUUGGCUACCUUCCUCUUAGUCUGCUUUUAUAAGAAAAUAUAUAUAUAUCUUGUUUAAGCACAA